rnacentral:rRNA from 1 species
AUACGGAGGGUGCAAGCGUUAUCCGGAAUCAUUGGGUUUAAAGGGUCCGCAGGCGGAUUAAUAAGUCAGUGGUGAAAUCCUCUCGCUCAACGAGAGAACUGCCAUUGAAACUGUUAGUCUUGAAUUAGGUCGAAGUAGGCGGAAUGUGUCAUGUAGCGGUGAAAUGCAUAGAUAUGACACAGAACACCGAUAGCGAAGGCAGCUUACUAGACCUGGAUUGACGCUCAUGGACGAAAGCGUGGGGAGCGAACAGGAUUAGAUACCCUAGUAGUCC